rnacentral:rRNA from 1 species
UACAGAGGGUGCGAGCGUUGUUCGGAAUUAUUGGGCGUAAAGGGCGCGUAGGCGGUGCGGUAAGUCACCUGUGAAAUCUCCUGGCUCAACUGGGAGCUUGCAGGCGAAACUGCCGUGCUGGAGUGUGGGAGAGGUGCGUGGAAUUCCCGGUGUAGCGGUGAAAUGCGCAGAUAUCAGGAGGAACACCGAUGGCGAAGGCAGCUCGCUGGGACGGUACUGACGCUGAGGCGCGAAAGCGUGGGGAGCGAACAGG